UACGUAGGGGGCUAGCGUUGUCCGGAAUCAUUGGGCGUAAAGCGCGUGUAGGCGGUCUGGUAAGUCCGCUGUGAAAGUCGGGGGCUCAACCCUCGAAUGCCGGUGGAUACUGUCGGGCUAGAGUGCGGAAGAGGCGAGUGGAAUUCCUGGUGUAGCGGUGAAAUGCGCAGAUAUCAGGAGGAACACCAAUUGCGAAGGCAGCUCGCUGGGACGUAACUGACGCUGAGACGCGAAAGCGUGGGGAGCAAACAGG
rnacentral:rRNA from 1 species